CCGCUGCCCCAGCCCAGUCCCCAGGAACGGAGUGUUCUCAAGGCUUCGGGACAAAAAUCUGGAAGUAGAGGAAGCAACUCUCAUUUGAACGGAGAUCUGAGUGAUGAAAAGAAGCAGACAGAGGCAUCAGGGAGUUCAAAGGCCCUGAGUCCAGGAAUCUCACCUCCCCACCUGGGUUGUGAGGUCUUCUGGGGCAAGGAUGGCGCCUGCUCUUCCUUGGGCCCACUCUCCCAGCCCGGUCAGCCGGAGGACCGGACACCUAAGAGCUGCUUGCCUCUCCUUGAACUCUGAAAGCAGUUGGCGAUCAGAAAGGUAAGGAGCUGGAUGCCCAGUGGCAGAGGCUCUCCAGGGACGUCCCCACUGCCAAACACAGUUUUCCGGUGCUCCCUAGGAAUCUGCCUUUCCUGUCCUAACUGGAUUCCAGGGUAAUGCAGGCUUUCUUUCCUCUGUACAACUCUCCUAGAGGAGCUGUGUUAGCUGGAUAAGCUGCCCGGAGCUGGCCUAGCUGGAGAGCAGCUCGACAAGAAUUCCUUUGUUCCCAGGCAUCUCUGUGGCACAGGCAUCCAGUGUCAAUUCCUGUCCAAGCCUCUCCCCAGGGCCCUGGCAGGAGACCCAGCACAUUUGGAAGAAGCCCGCCACCUGCCAGAGCUGCAGGUCCUAGAUGCCCAGAAGUUAUAGUGCCCAAGGUCACCCCAGGCUCACAAGUGACUUUGUCCUCAGUCCUAAGGGAGGAAUAGCUUGCUUACUAGUGCCUGUAGGAGGCUCCCAAGGCAGCCACCUUGCACCCUGGAAUACCUGCUGGCAAUGGGAGGCUGGUCUAGGCCAGGGCACCAUUAAUGAAGCCUUGACUGGGGUGAGGCAUCUCAGAGCCAGCUGGCCUUGUUCCUCUGGUUCCACACUGAGCCUCGAUCCUAUCUACGUAUCUGACCCCAUCCAAACCCACAGUAUGCCCCUUCUCCGUCUGUGAUAUCCUCAGGGCAGGGACCUCAUGAAACUCAUCCCUGUAGCCUGAAGCCAGCCCAGACCAACCCUAGGAAUUGUAUGCACAACAAGUCUCCACCUGUGCACAGCUCGGCUCACAAGCUCACCAGCAUCCCACAGGUCCAGUGCCCAAGCUCUGACCUCUGGCACCAUCUGUGUCUCUCACCCAGCCCAGAGCCCUCACUCAGUGGAUUUCAUUAACUGUUUAGAGCUCACCAGGUAAUGAAUUUGUUCCCUAAGGAGCCAGGCUGGACUAGGCUUCCUCAGGCCAGAUGAGUUGGGAAGAAGCGGUACUCUACCUGUCAGAGGAGGGACCUUUUCCUAGAGGCCAUACUGCUCAGAAGCUUCUCUCUUCCCACGCUGGGUCCCAGUUAUAGCCUGGCUCAUGCCAAAGUCUCAGCAGCAAAGGCCAAGUGGGGCUUCUCCAUGCUCUUCCAGGAGCUCAGCCUCAGUAGGAAGGGUCUGGAAUGGACUUAGACUCUCAGGCUGGGCCAGAGAAACCCUGACACUGGGGCUCAGACAGGGCCAGAGAGGCUCCAGGCCACCCAGGAGUCAGCACUUUUUGCCCCUGCCUGCCAGGACCAUGGUCUAACCGUUGUUGUGCACAUUUGCUCUCUCCAACCUUGCUUCUGUUCUUGGAGAAUUCUGAGCACCUGUCGGCCAACCAGCACUGCCCAGAGGGCAGAGGGCAGAGGGCUUCAUGGGACUCCCCUAACAACUGCAGUCUACGGCCACAGCCCUACGCUAGCCCGUCACCCCUUCCCAGCCUCACUUCUUAUGCUCCAACACAGGCAACUGCUCUCACCACUUUAUUUUUUCUAUGAAAUUACAUAUAUCUGUGUGUCUACAUUCAGAUUUAAAAUGUAGACUCGUUGUAGGCAUUUUUAAUGUAAACGGGAUCAUAUUGUACAUAUUACCCUGCAACUUUCUUUUCACAUAACACUUUUAUUAGGGCUCUUUCUACAUCAGACAUACAAAACCACACAAUGCUUCUUAGUUUGCUGCCUUCUUCUUUUUGCUCUUGGUUUAUUUAGUGAGUUCUCUAGUGACAAACAUUCAAGCUAUUUCAAGUUUUUCACGGUUGCAAACAAUGUUGUAAUGAUGCUCUUAAACAGAUCCUCUAGUGCCCACAUCAGAGGGUCUCUGGGGGAGAUUCCUGGAAGCAGACUGCAUGUGCUCAUCUCCUCCUCCUCCCAACGUGGGGCAGCUGUGAGCUCUCACCUUUCACUCUCGAGGAGCGUACUAGAAUGUUUGCCUGAACAAAGGGCCGUUCCCUUUCCAGGAGGAAGCUUGGGGCCCGCUCUGGGCAUCCUCAUGUAUUCUCCACGGCGCUCUUGCAGACCAGGCAGACACCGUCCGUCUCUCGGGAACAUCCUCCAUCCUCCCAUCUCAUCUGAGCUGCCUUCUGUGUUUAGGCCCGUCUCUCAGCUGCUCUCAAGAAACUCUCUUGACCCACAGGUUCCCGAGACAGCUUGUUAUACCCUGACCAAUGCCAUCUGUGCCUAAGAACUUGUCUUCCUAAGGAGACCUAAAUCCCUAGAAGACAGGGUCUUGCCCUGGAACUCACUGCCCUGAAAAAGAGCCUUGUUUGUCUAGACGCUUGGAAAAUGCAUGCUCUUUCUAAAACCAAGUUACCUCGAGCAUGGCUAUGAACUCAUCAGUAAAUGUAUGAGAAAUGUCUUUAUAAGACCGCCACCUGGAAGGAGGAUAUGUGCUUUGCUUUAUGAGAAACCCUGGAAAAGGGAGAAAGGAUUUGUCCUUACAGAGUUCAACUUGACUUGGAGCCGGUGCCUUUGGUUCUUGAUGGUUCUUGGAUUGGGCCAGGCCCCUCAGCUCCAAGUGGGGUGUCUCACACUUUGAUUCUGGUCAAGCUGGCCCCUGGCUUGGCUGGAGUUACUGCCUGCUGCCAGUUUCUGGGGAGGCAUUUGGAGACCCCAGGGAUCUUCCUUGCCUUCUGCCAUCUGUGGCCACUGGGCGGGGUCUGAGCGUCUGAGAAGGGACAGGUGGCCUGGCUGGCACAUCAGCUAGACAUCUCCUGGGGCUGGUCAGUACCAUCUUUAAACCAGCUGGCAGAGACUCCAGAGGGGUUUCUCUCCCUGUCAUGCAUUUAUAGCACCACAGGAAAAGCCAAGGCUGGGUCUUGCCAUAGAUACAACCCUGGGCAGUUUUUCUCUCUGUUCCAAACUGUAGCUGCAGCCCCUGCUUCGAGCCUAGGAGGCAGAAGCUGCUGAACUUGUCUUCUCUUGAAUGCCAAACUAUAUGCUUUGCACAGGGCUCGGCACAGAGUAGGCAGCCAGGAAAUAUUUACCGAAUGGCCAAUAGAAUGUUCACCUUCCCUUAGGGGAGGCCCAAUGCCAUUGAGAGAGUAAGGAUUGAACUCCAGGAACAGAAUACAGAAGAAGGCAUGAGCCAGCCUCACUUGCGUCUGCGCAAUCUUCCCAGAUUUCACUUUUCCUUUCCGGGUUCCCAGGAUUUCUCCAGGAACUCUAAUGUUAGGGCAAGGGUGUGAUCCACUUUUCCUAACCCUUUAAACCUGUGCUACUUCAAGCAUAAUCCAUGGACCAGCAGCAUCAGCCUCAUCUGGGAACUUGUUGGAAAUGCAGACUCUCAGGCCCCACCCCAGACCUAAUGAAUCAGCUUCUGCCCUUGAAGAAGAUCAGGUGAUUUAUGUGCCUGUUACAGUUGGAGAAGUACUGCCUUAAGCAGCUAGCGUGUGAACAUAGGACUUGUCACCUGGCCCAGAGGUCAGCCGCUAGCGUGUGGCUAACUACAGUUGGGCUUCUGCCUACCUUGAUGACUCAGACACCUUAUUGAGUCAGAUAUUUUCUGUCUCUCCAGUCCUUGAAUACUGUCCAGAACAUAGUAGGCACUCAAUAAAUAGUCGAUGAAUAAAUGCUAAAUUAUUCUUAUGCUGUUUUCUCCAUUCAGGGUGCUUAUAGUGUGCUGGACCUCUGCUUCUGGACAUAAAUUGCAAGUUAUUAAAAAGGUUUUUUUUGGUUUUUGUUUGUUGGUUUGUUGGUUGGUUUGUUUUGGUUAGCACUAAGAACCCCAGGAAGAAUGGCUACUAUCAAGUGAGCAAUUAGUGAGUGCCAGGCCAGUGCAUGGCACCGCAGGAAUAAGCUCUCGGUGUUUUACAAAGCAUGGUUCAAGGACAAGGGCAUCAAGUAUGACCAGGUACUUGUUAAAAAUGCAGAUCCCCUGGCCCUGCCCCAUGAGAGCCUUUGGAACUGAGGCCCAGAAAUAUACAUUUUAAACAAGCAUUCCAGACACACUAAAGUUUUGACAUUAUUGCAUCGCUAAUUUACAGAGGAGGAAAUUGCAGCACAGAGAAGUUAACUGCUUUGUGCCAAGUCAUGGAGCUGGUGAAUGGUGGAGGCAGGAUUCAAACCCGUGACUGCCUGAAUCUGGAAUCUACAGUUUUAACCAUAUUGUCUGUUAUGCUGGAAAAACGGAUGCCCAGGCUGAUUGUGUGUAUUUAGCCACACACAUCACUCGGUGUGUAUUUCAUGUGUCCACAAAGUUUGCUAGACUGUGAGCUCUUAGGAAAUCUUGGAAGGCAGUGAAUGUUUUAUUUCUCUCAGUAUCUCGAGCAUCCAUUCCUAUGCCUGGCAUCUGAAAUAUCCUCAGGAAAAGCCAUUUCAAUUGAAUUUCUAUAUGUACAUAAUUAUCCAUUUCUACAUACACGGAGGACCUGUCAUUUUCAGGCAGAAUCUUGGACCAAGCUAUCGCAACCAUAAAUGCUCCCACUCUCUUCACUCGUUCAGCCUUGUGCUUAUGCCACUCCAUUGACACGGCUCUUGUUAGGUCCCCAGUGGCCUCAGUGUGGCUGAACUUAGUGAUCAAUUGUCCCGAACCCUUGGCAGCUUUGGACACAGGGCUUUCCUUCCUCAUAAAACGCUCUCCACUUGGCUUCCGGGACAGUCCCUCUAUCUCUCCGAAUGCUGUUGCUCCUUUUUUUCUUUUAAACUUUUUUUGAUUUUUUAUUGUGGGAAAAGAUACAUAAUACAAAUUUUAUUAUCUUAGGAAGUUCCCGUCAUGGCUCAGUGGUUAACGACUUCGACUAGUAUCCAUGAGGACGUGGGUUCGAUCCCUGGCUUCCCUCAGUGAGUUAAGGAAUCCAGUAUUGCCAUGAGCUGUGCUGUAGGUCGCAGACACAGUUGGAUCCCGCGUUGCUGGGGCUGUGGCGGAGGCUGGCAGCUACAACUCCGAUUCGACCCCUAGCCUGGGAACCUCCAUAUGCUGUGAGUGCAGCCUUAAAAAGCAAAACACAAGAAUAAAUAAAAAUAAAAAAA
rnacentral:lncRNA from 1 species